rnacentral:rRNA from 1 species
UACGUAGGGGUGCAAGCGUUGUCCGGAAUUAUUGGGCGUAAAGAGCUCGUAGGCGGUCUGUCGCGUCGAAUGUGAAACCCCGAGGCUCAACCUCGGGUCUGCAUUCGAUACGGGCAGACUAGAGUUCGGUAGGGGAGUCUGGAAUUCCUGGUGUAGCGGUGAAAUGCGUAGAUAUCGUAAGGAAGACCAGUGGCGAAGGCGAGUCUCUGGACAGUUACCGACGCUGAGGCACGAAGGUCAGGGGAGCAAACGGG